AUUGAACGCUGGCGGCAUGCCUUACACAUGCAAGUCGAACGGCAGCACGGGAGCAAUCCUGGUGGCGAGUGGCGAACGGGUGAGUAAUAUAUCGGAACGUGCCCAGUCGUGGGGGAUAACGUAGCGAAAGCUACGCUAAUACCGCAUACGAUCUAUGGAUGAAAGCGGGGGAUCGCAAGACCUCGCGCGAUUGGAGCGGCCGAUAUCAGAUUAGCUAGUUGGUGGGGUAAAGGCCCACCAAGGCGACGAUCUGUAGCUGGUCUGAGAGGACGACCAGCCACACUGGGACUGAGACACGGCCCAGACUCCUACGGGAGGCAGCAGUGGGGAAUUUUGGACAAUGGGCGCAAGCCUGAUCCAGCAAUGCCGCGUGCAGGACGAAGGCCUUCGGGUUGUAAACUGCUUUUGUACGGAACGAAACGGCUCUCUCUAAUACAGGGGGCUAAUGACGGUACCGUAAGAAUAAGCACCGGCUAACUACGUGCCAGCCGCCGCCGUAA
rnacentral:rRNA from 1 species